rnacentral:rRNA from 1 species
GAUGAACGCUGGCGGCGUGCCUAAUACAUGCAAGUCGAACGCAUAGCGAAAGGUGCUUGCACCUUUCAAGUGAGUGGCGAACGGGUGAGUAACACGUGGACAACCUGCCUCAAGGCUGGGGAUAACAUUUGGAAACAGAUGCUAAUACCGAAUAAAACUUAGUGUCGCAUGACACAAAGUUAAAAGGCGCUUCGGCGUCACCUAGCGAUGGAUCCGCGGUGCAUUAGUUAGUUGGUGGGGUAAAGGCCUACCAAGACAAUGAUGCAUAGCCGAGUUGAGAGACGGAUAGGCCACAUUGGGACUGAGACACGGCCCAAACUCCUACGGGAGGCUGCAGUAGGGAAUCUUCCACAAUGGGGGAAAGCCUGAUGGAGCAAGGCCGCGUGUGUGAUGAAGGCGUUCGGGUCGUAAAGAACUGUUGUAUGGGAAGAACAGCUAGAAUAGGAAAUGAUUUUAGUUUGACGGUACCAUACCAGAAAGGGACGGCUAAAUACGUG